rnacentral:rRNA from 1 species
CCUACGGGAGGCAGCAGUGAGGAAUAUUGGUCAAUGGACGAGAGUCUGAACCAGCCAAGUAGCGUGAAGGAUGACUGCCCUAUGGGUUGUAAACUUCUUUUAUAAAGGAAUAAAACGAGGCACGUGUGCCAUUUUGCAUGUACCUUAUGAAUAAGGAUAGGCUAACUCCGUGCCAGCAGCCGCGGUAAUACGGAGGAUCCGAGCGUUAUCCGGAUUUAUUGGGUUUAAAGGGAGCGUUGAUGGGUUGUUCAGUCAGUUGUGAAAGUUUGCGGCUCCACCGUAAAAUUGCACUUGAUACUGGCAGUCUUGCGUACAGUUGAGGUAGGCGGACUUCGUGGUGUCGCGGU